rnacentral:rRNA from 1 species
GAUGAACGCUGGCGGCGUGCCUAAUACAUGCAAGUCGAGCGAACAGACGAGGAGCUUGCUCCUCUGACGUUAGCGGCGGACGGGUGAGUAACACGUGGAUAACCUACCUAUAAGACUGGGAUAACUUCGGGAAACCGGAGCUAAUACCGGAUAAUAUAUUGAACCGCAUGGUUCAAUAGUGAAAGACGGUUUUGCUGUCACUUAUAGAUGGAUCCGCGCCGCAUUAGCUAGUUGGUAAGGUAACGGCUUACCAAGGCAACGAUGCGUAGCCGACCUGAGAGGGUGAUCGGCCACCCUGGAACUGAGACUCGGCCCCGACUCCUACGGGAGGCCGCAGUAGGGAAUCUUCCGCAAUGGGCGAAAGCCUGACGGAGCAACGCCGCGUGAGUGAUGAAGGUCUUCGGAUCGUAAAACUCUGUUAUUAGGGGAGAACAAAUGUGUAAGUAACUAUGCACGUCUUGACGGUACCUAAUCAGAAAGCCCCGGCUAACUACGUG